rnacentral:lncRNA from 1 species
UUUGUAUACAAUACAAAUUAUUGCACAUUUCUAGGCCAUCUAAGCAAAAUUUCUGUAACUAAAAAAGUACAAUAAGGAUUCCUAAUUGUGUAGAAUCUUACAGCAUCUUUGAUAAACAUCUCAGCAGAAGUGCCAUUUAGUCUGUGUGGAAAAUAAAGAAAAACUAACUCUGGUUAUCUCUUUAGGGACAUUUAAUUGUACAGACAACAUAAUGUAACAAUAUCUCAGCAUUAUAUAAUGGCUGUAAAUUACCUUUCCUUGUGCCGACUGGAGGAGCACUGUAUCAUGCUCUGAUGUGUUUGCUGGGGCGUCCUGCUCCCCGUAGGUGUCGUCUACGCAGCAUUGAGUUUAUUGAAAUGUCGCUUUCACUGGAAGUGCGGAUGUUUCGGUUCUAAUUGCCAUAUAAAAGUAGAGCUGUCUCUUGGGUUUAUCAGCUUUCUCAUUCAUAGGCAAUACCUCGAUUUUAAAUGAUUAGUGAGCCACUUGUUUCUCAAGUGUUUGGCUAGUUCUAUUAAGAAAUAGUUGAAUGUCGUGCUGUUCGGAGCCUCAGAAGGGGGUGGGGGAGGGGUGAAACAGAAUCUAUUCUGGAUUGGGCCAGCCUGAACUAGGUAAUACUGGCAAUUAAGAUUCUGUGAAGAUUCUAUGCAUAUAGUAGUGUCAUUUGGGUGAAAAAGAGCCGUUUUAACAAUUUUGAGUACGUUUGGCUAUUCUAUAGCCUCUUUCUUCCUUCCCCAAAGACGUUCUACUUGCCUAACUCUCAAACUGUUGGGGUGAUACAUUCCUUUGGGACCAGUUAAAAUACAGCGUUAGGGUCGGUGACAUAUGUGACUGGCUCUGGUUCAGUAUUCUCUUAUCUUAGGUCACUGUAGUCUCUCUUGUAUGGUUGCCCAAAAUUAUAAUGUUAAAUAAUCUAAAGUGAGUUCAGACAAGUAAAAUCAAGGGAAAUAGAAGGUGAAUUCUAUAACUUCUGUAAGUUGCUUGAUAUUAAAAGGUUGAGAGGCAGGUUGGCCCCAGACUGUAUACUUUUCUGACACUUUACCUGGGAAGAAAACAUGUACAAAGGUCAGGGUGGAGGCAUGACUGAGGAGGUCGGCACAGCCUGCAUGUGUGUGCUCUCUCUGCCUUACGCCUCAGUCUGUGGUUGGAAGACUUUGUACUGGUGAAUGGCAAUAUGCAGGUGGGGCAGUGUCAAAAGCAGUUUGAUUUAUUAAUCUCCAAAUAACAAUAAAUCUCCAGCUUUU